AGUGUAGGCGGUUUGACAAGUCGGGUGUGAAAUCCCAGGGCCCAACCCUGGAACUGCAUCCGAUACUGUUAGGCUAGAGUCCCGGAGAGGGUGGCGAAAUUCCCGGUGUAGGGGUGAAAUCCGUAGAUAUCGGGAGGAACACCAGUGGCGAAGGCGGCCACCUGGACGGUGACUGACGCUGAGACUCGAAAGUGUGGGUAGCAAACAGGAUUAGAUACCCUGGUAGUCC
rnacentral:rRNA from 1 species